GCCUUCUUAGCUCAGUGGUAGAGCCCAUGGUUUUUAACUACAUAGUCGUGGGUUCAAUCCCCACAGACCGUA
rnacentral:tRNA from 1 species